AAGGGCUCAAAAAUAACUGGACAAAUCACAUAACUGAAAAUAAAAUGUUAAUUUCAGGGUUUCCUCCUUUUUAAUGCGCUGCCAGCUUUCAGUUGCUGUUCAUUUGUGGACCUUUCUGUCCACAGUUUUGUCUUCAACAAGUGAAAUAGUGAAAUGCAUGCUCAAAUGGGUUAAGAUCAGGUGACUGACUUGGCCAUUCAAGAAGUUUAAUAAACUCUUGGGUUGCUUUGGCUGUAUAUUUUAGGUCAUUGUCCAUCUGUAUUAUGAAAUGGCGCCCAAUCAAUUUGACUGCAUUAGCUGGAUUUGAACAGAAAGUAUGUCUACCUUCAGAAUUCAUUUGACUGCUUCUGUCCUGUGUCACAUCAUCAAUAAACACUAGUGUCCCAGUGCCACUGUCAGCCAUGCACGCUCAAGCCAUCACACUGCCUCCACCGUGUUUUAGAGAUAAUGUGGUAUGCUUUGGAUAAUGAGCUUCUUCCACGCCUUCUCCAUGCUUUUUUCUUACCAUCACUCUGGUAGAGUUUGAUCUUGGUCUCAUCCGUCCAAAGAAUGAUUUUCCAGAACUCUGCUGGCUUUAAAUUUUUUUAUUUUUUUUGUUAACCAAAGUUCAAUCUAGCCUUUCUAUUCUUUAGGCUCGUGAGUGGCUUUAACUUUCCAGUGAACCCUCUGUAUUUACUUUCAUGGAGUCUUCUCUUUAUGGAAGACUUGGAUAUCGAUACGGCUACCUCCUGGAGAGUGUUGUUCACUUGGUUGGUUGUUAUGAAGGGGUUUCUCUUCACCAUGGAAAUGAUUCUGCGAUCAUCCACCACUGUUGUCUUCCGUGGACGUCCGGGUCUUUUUGCGUUGCUGAGUUUUGCGUGCUUUCUUUCUUUCACAGCAUGUGCCAAACUGUAGAUUUUGCCACUCAUAAUACUGUAGCAAUUUCUUGGAUGGAUUUUUUCUGUUUUUGCAGCUUAGGGAUGACUUGUUUUACCUGCAUGGAGAGCUUCUUUGACCGCAUGUUUUCUGUUCACAGCUAAAUCUUUCAAAUGCAAGCACCAAACCUCAAAUCACCUCCAGGCCUUUUAUCUGCUUAAUGAAAUAACAAAGGAAUUGCCCACACCUGCCGAUGAAAUAACUUUUGAGUCAAUUUUCCAGUUUCUUGUGGUCCCUUUAAAAAGAGAGUAGCACAUGUUAAAGAGCUGAAACUCCUAAACCCUUCAUCCUAUUUGAUUGUGGAAACGCUCAAAUGAAAGC
ensembl:lncRNA